rnacentral:rRNA from 1 species
GGUUAAGCGACUAAGCGUACACGGUGGAUGCCCUGGCAGUCAGAGGCGAUGAAGGACGUGCUAAUCUGCGAUAAGCGUCGGUAAGGUGAUAUGAACCGUUAUAACCGGCGAUUUCCGAAUGGGGAAACCCAGUGUGUUUCGACACACUAUCAUUAACUGAAUCCAUAGGUUAAUGAGGCGAACCGGGGGAACUGAAACAUCUAAGUACCCCGAGGAAAAGAAAUCAACCGAGAUUCCCCCAGUAGCGGCGAGCGAACGGGGAGCAGCCCAGAGCCUGAAUCAGUGUGUGUGUUAGUGGAAGCGUCUGGAAAGGCGCGCGAUACAGGGUGACAGCCCCGUACACAAAAAUGCACAUAUUGUGAGCUCGAUGAGUAGGGCGGGACACGUGGUAUCCUGUCUGAAUAUGGGGGGACCAUCCUCCAAGGCUAAAUACUCCUGACUGACCGAUAGUGAACCAGUACCGUGAGGGAAAGGCGAAAAGAACCCCGGCGAGGGGAGUGAAAAAGAACCUGAAACCGUGUACGUACAAGCAGUGGGAGCCUCUUUUAUGGGGUGACUGCGUACCUUUUGUAUAAUGGGUCAGCGACUUAUAUUCUGUAGCAAGGUUAACCGAAUAGGGGAGCCGAAGGGAAACCGAGUCUUAACUGGGCGUUAAGUUGCAGGGUAUAGACCCGAAACCCGGUGAUCUAGCCAUGGGCAGGUUGAAGGUUGGGUAACACUAACUGGAGGACCGAACCGACUAAUGUUGAAAAAUUAGCGGAUGACUUGUGGCUGGGGGUGAAAGGCCAAUCAAACCGGGAGAUAGCUGGUUCUCCCCGAAAGCUAUUUAGGUAGCGCCUCGUGAAUUCAUCUCCGGGGGUAGAGCACUGUUUCGGCAAGGGGGUCAUCCCGACUUACCAACCCGAUGCAAACUGCGAAUACCGGAGAAUGUUAUCACGGGAGACACACGGCGGGUGCUAACGUCCGUCGUGAAGAGGGAAACAACCCAGACCGCCAGCUAAGGUCCCAAAGUCAUGGUUAAGUGGGAAACGAUGUGGGAAGGCCCAGACAGCCAGGAUGUUGGCUUAGAAGCAGCCAUCAUUUAAAGAAAGCGUAAUAGCUCACUGGUCGAGUCGGCCUGCGCGGAAGAUGUAACGGGGCUAAACCAUGCACCGAAGCUGCGGCAGCGACGCUUAUGCGUUGUUGGGUAGGGGAGCGUUCUGUAAGCCUGUGAAGGUGUGCUGUGAGGCAUGCUGGAGGUAUCAGAAGUGCGAAUGCUGACAUAAGUAACGAUAAAGCGGGUGAAAAGCCCGCUCGCCGGAAGACCAAGGGUUCCUGUCCAACGUUAAUCGGGGCAGGGUGAGUCGACCCCUAAGGCGAGGCCGAAAGGCGUAGUCGAUGGGAAACAGGUUAAUAUUCCUGUACUUGGUGUUACUGCGAAGGGGGGACGGAGAAGGCUAUGUUGGCCGGGCGACGGUUGUCCCGGUUUAAGCGUGUAGGCUGGUUUUCCAGGCAAAUCCGGAAAAUCAAGGCUGAGGCGUGAUGACGAGGCACUACGGUGCUGAAGCAACAAAUGCCCUGCUUCCAGGAAAAGCCUCUAAGCAUCAGGUAACAUCAAAUCGUACCCCAAACCGACACAGGUGGUCAGGUAGAGAAUACCAAGGCGCUUGAGAGAACUCGGGUGAAGGAACUAGGCAAAAUGGUGCCGUAACUUCGGGAGAAGGCACGCUGAUAUGUAGGUGAAGUCCCUCGCGGAUGGAGCUGAAAUCAGUCGAAGAUACCAGCUGGCUGCAACUGUUUAUUAAAAACACAGCACUGUGCAAACACGAAAGUGGACGUAUACGGUGUGACGCCUGCCCGGUGCCGGAAGGUUAAUUGAUGGGGUCAGCGCAAGCGAAGCUCUUGAUCGAAGCCCCGGUAAACGGCGGCCGUAACUAUAACGGUCCUAAGGUAGCGAAAUUCCUUGUCGGGUAAGUUCCGACCUGCACGAAUGGCGUAAUGAUGGCCAGGCUGUCUCCACCCGAGACUCAGUGAAAUUGAACUCGCUGUGAAGAUGCAGUGUACCCGCGGCAAGACGGAAAGACCCCGUGAACCUUUACUAUAGCUUGACACUGAACAUUGAGCCUUGAUGUGUAGGAUAGGUGGGAGGCUUUGAAGUGUGGACGCCAGUCUGCAUGGAGCCGGCCUUGAAAUACCACCCUUUAAUGUUUGAUGUUCUAACGUUGGCCCCUGAUCGGGGUUGCGGACAGUGUCUGGUGGGUAGUUUGACUGGGGCGGUCUCCUCCUAAAGAGUAACGGAGGAGCACGAAGGUUGGCUAAUCCUGGUCGGACAUCAGGAGGUUAGUGCAAUGGCAUAAGCCAGCUUGACUGCGAGCGUGACGGCGCGAGCAGGUGCGAAAGCAGGUCAUAGUGAUCCGGUGGUUCUGAAUGGAAGGGCCAUCGCUCAACGGAUAAAAGGUACUCCGGGGAUAACAGGCUGAUACCGCCCAAGAGUUCAUAUCGACGGCGGUGUUUGGCACCUCGAUGUCGGCUCAUCACAUCCUGGGGCUGAAGUAGGUCCCAAGGGUAUGGCUGUUCGCCAUUUAAAGUGGUACGCGAGCUGGGUUUAGAACGUCGUGAGACAGUUCGGUCCCUAUCUGCCGUGGGCGCUGGAGAACUGAGGGGGGCUGCUCCUAGUACGAGAGGACCGGAGUGGACGCAUCACUGGUGUUCGGGUUGUCAUGCCAAUGGCACUGCCCGGUAGCUAAAUGCGGAAGAGAUAAGUGCUGAAAGCAUCUAAGCACGAAACUUGCCCCGAGAUGAGUUCUCCCUGACUCCUUGAGAGUCCUGAAGGAACGUUGAAGACGACGACGUUGAUAGGCCGGGUGUGUAAGCGCAGCGAUGCGUUGAGCUAACCGGUACUAAUGAACCGUGAGGCUUAACCUU